AUUGAACGCUGGCGGCAUGCUUUACACAUGCAAGUCGAACGGUAACAGGCCUUCGGGUGCUGACGAGUGGCGAACGGGUGAGUAAUGCAUCGGAACGUGCCCAAUCGUGGGGGAUAACGUAGCGAAAGUUACGCUAAUACCGCAUAAGCCCUGAGGGGGAAAGUGGGGGACCGCAAGGCCUCACGCGAAUGGAGCGGCCGAUGUCAGAUUAGCUAGUUGGUGGGGUAAAGGCCCACCAAGGCGACGAGUCUGUAGCGGGUCUGAGAGGAUGAUCCGCCACACUGGGACUGAGACACGGCCCAGACUCCUACGGGAGGCAGCAGUGGGGAAUUUUGGACAAUGGGCGCAAGCCUGAUCCAGCCAUGCCGCGUGCGGGACGAAGGCCUCGGGUGUAACGCUUUCAGCGGAAGAAAUACGCCGUUUUAUACUAGACGGU
rnacentral:rRNA from 1 species